rnacentral:rRNA from 1 species
UUAUAGGGCCUAAAUACCCUGAAGCCACUAGAUUCCGCCUGAUCUUGGAAACUAAGCAGGAUCAGCUCUGGUUACUACUUGGAUGGGAGACUGCCAGUGAACAUCAGGCACUAUAGGCU